rnacentral:lncRNA from 1 species
GUGAAUAUACAUCCCUACUUUCCCUCACUCUCCCUCUCUCUCUUUAUCUCUCUUGCACCACCACCACCCGCACACCAACACUAGCACCACCACGACCACCACCCUCAUACCAGCAUCACCACCGCACCACCCCAACGCCACCUCCACACCGGCCACCGCACCACCCCCAUAGUGGCCAACAGUUACAGCGGUGGUGAUGGUUUCACGGCGGCCCCUUCGUUGCUAUAGUGGUGGCUAUAGUUUUGGAUUUGGUACGUCGGCCACAGAUUCUAUUGCUCAGUCACAUCGCAUGCCACCAUGAUCAGCAGUUAGGGUUCACCGUUCACAUAUUCUAGCUACAGCAGCCAAUAAUUAGGGUUUUACAGCGGUUCACCACCACAACCCCAUCCUCAGCAGUUACGGCGGCCAAUAAUUGGCUUUGAUUUCACUAUUGUAGUCGUGUUUGAGUUCAGUAUAAGUAAUUGUUGGGAUUUUGAUGGAGGAAUUGAUAUGGGGUGGUGCAGUGGUGGUGCUGGUGUGGGAGGAGUAG